rnacentral:rRNA from 1 species
ACUCCUACGGGAGGCAGCAGUGGGGAAUAUUGCACAAUGGGGGAAACCCUGAUGCAGCCAUGCCGCGUGUGUGAAGAAGGCCUUCGGGUUGUAAAGCACUUUCAGUAGGGAGGAAGGUAGUGUAGUUAACACCUGCAUUAUUUGACGUUACCUACAGAAGAAGCACCGGCUAACUCCGUGCCAGCAGCCGCGGUAAUACGGAGGGUGCGAGCGUUAAUCGGAAUUACUGGGCGUAAAGCGCAUGCAGGCGGCCUGUUAAGUCAGAUGUGAAAGCCCGGGGCUUAACCUCGGAAUUGCAUUUGAAACUGGCAGGCUAGAGUCUUGUAGAGGGGUAGAAUUUCAGGUGUAGCGGUGAAAUGCGUAGAGAUCUGAAGGAAUACCAGUGGCGAAGGCGGCCCCUGGACAAAGACUGACGCUCAGAUGCGAAAGCGUGGGAGCAAACAGGAUUAGAUACCCCUGGUAGCGACUGA